CCUACGGGUGGCAGCAGUGGGGAAUAUUGGGCAAUGGGCGCAAGCCUGACCCAGCAACGCCGCGUGAAGGAAGAAGGCUUUCGGGUUGUAAACUUCUUUUAAGAGGGAAGAGCAGAAGACGGUACCUCUUGAAUAAGCCACGGCUAACUACGUGCCAGCAGCCGCGGUAAUACGUCGGUGGCAAGCGUUGUCCGGAUUUACUGGGUGUAAAGGGCGUGCAGCCGGGAAGACAAGUCAGAUGUGAAAUCCCGCGGCUCAACCGCGGAACUGCAUUUGAAACUGUUUUUCUUGAGUGAGUGAGAAGUAUGCGGAAUGCGUGGUGUAGCGGUGAAAUGCAUAGAUAUCACGCAGAACUCCGAUUGCGAAGGCAGCAUACCGGCGCUCAACUGACGCUCAUGCACGAAAGUGUGGGUAUCGAACAGGAUUAGAUACCCUAGUAGUC
rnacentral:rRNA from 1 species